CUACAAUUCUCUAGAGAUGAUGGUUUUCUAUGAUUCACAGGUAAAUCACAACACCAGGAGUUGAUCUGCAUGGAAAAGAUGGUGGUUUGUGUUAGGAAAGAGAUUGCAACCACAGAGAGAUGGAGAGAAUACAUUGAUACUGCAUUUCAAAUUGGCUAGAUCAAAAGGAACAGCAGCUAAAAUCCAUUACAACCCAAUUACAUCCAUCAGCUGAAGCUGUGUGCAUUCACUCGUGAACAUCAGCAUUUAAUCCAUAAAGAGGAACUAAUGAGAAAUUUGAAAAUGGAAUCCACGCAUCAAUGGAGGAUAUUAGUGAGAGGAUGGUUCUCUUGGCCUUUUUUCUUGGACUUGCAGUCAGCAUGGUGGCAGUGGUAAGCUAAGGGAGGGGAUUUUAAAUGGGCUAAUCAGCCAUGGG
rnacentral:lncRNA from 1 species